AUGAGUUACCUAAGCUGGAACUGCCGGGGGCUUGGGAACCCCGGGGCAGUUCGAGAGCUUCGCAGUAUUGUUAAGCAAGAAGCGCCCGGUCUCCUGUUUGUCAUGGAGACAAAGAUCGCAGCGGUGAGAGUGGAGAACUUGCGGACAUCGUUGGGUUUCGAGGGAUGUUUUGCGAUUAACAGUGUGGGUCUCAGUGGUGGGAUUGGUAUGUUCUGGUCUCAUGACUUUGACGUAGAGUUAAAGAAUUAUAGUGCCGGCCAUAUUGAUGUCAUGGUGCGAAGGAAAGGCGAUGAUGGAAGAAAAUGGCGAGUGACUGGUUUCUAUGGAUCUCCAAGGGCUGAAGAUAGACAUCAUAGUUGGAGAUUCAUGAGAACUUUGUUUGCAAUCCAACAUGAGGCUUGGAUGUGUAUUGGUGAUUUUAACGAAACUUUGAUGGGAUCGAACACUUUCACGGUCCUCACGUCCGGAAUGGCAAAUGCGAGCAUUCCCUGA
rnacentral:rRNA from 1 species